rnacentral:lncRNA from 1 species
GUAUUGUUUUACUUUUCACAUUUAGGUCUACAAUCAAUAUGGAAAUGCCAGUUUCCACAUGAAGAAGGUACUUGCUUCCCCUUCUCCUUCUGCCAUGACUGUAAGUUUCCUGAGACCUCCCAAUCGUGCUUCCUGUUACACCUGCAGAACUGUGAGUCAAUUAAACCUCUUUUUUCAUUAAGAAGUACGAGUCUCAGGUAGUUCUUUAUAGCAGUGUGA